UACGGAGGGGGCUAGCGUUGUUCGGAAUUACUGGGCGUAAAGCGCACGUAGGCGGCUUUGCAAGUUAGAGGUGAAAGCCCAGGGCUUAACCCUGGAAUUGUCUUUAAAACUGCAUCGCUAGAAUUGUGGAGAGGUGAGUGGAAUUCCGAGUGUAGAGGUGAAAUUCGUAGAUAUUCGGAAGAACACCAGUGGCGAAGGCGACUCACUGGACACAUAUUGACGCUGAGGUGCGAAAGCGUGGGGAGCAAACAGG
rnacentral:rRNA from 1 species